rnacentral:rRNA from 1 species
UACAGAGGUCUCAAGCGUUGUUCGGAUUCAUUGGGCGUAAAGGGUGCGUAGGCGGCGCGGUAAGUCGGGUGUGAAAUCUCGGGGCUUAACUCCGAAACUGCAUUCGAUACUGCGGUGCUUGAGGACUGGAGAGGAGACUGGAAUUCAUGGUGUAGCAGUGAAAUGCGUAGAGAUCAUGAGGAAGACCAGUGGCGAAGGCGGGUCUCUGGACAGUUCCUGACACUGAGACACGAAGGCCAGGGGAGCAAACAGG